GUGCUCUGGAGACGCGGGCUGUGGGGACGGCAGGCGCGGAGCCCCUCCUGGCGCGGCCAUGCUGUCUUUUCCCACCUGGGACUGACGCCUCCCCGUGCCACGGUGUCCUUGUCCCAUUUACAGAUGGCAAAGCUGAGGCUCAGGGAGGGUGGGGAGUAACUCGCCCACUGACACACAGUCGGCAAGAGGCAGAGCUUUGCAAAUAGUUUUUGAAAAUGACCCAACAUGGCAGAGAAAAUACUCUUGGCCUCCAGUUCCCUCGACAUCCAUCCACACGCGCCCGCCGUGGUUCCCAGCUCCUGCGCCCCCUGAGACCUCCGGGAAGGCAGUGGGGAGAGAGAGGAUGGGCAGGAGGUAGUCGUCGGUGGGCCGGGGGCCCUUGGCCUCCCAGUGUCCACACUCUCUUCCAAACGCCGUCAUCGUGAAGCCAAUCCUCCAACAAGAUGCAAUGAACAGAUGUAAUGUCUACAUGGCGUUGGGCAAGUUCCCGAGGCCCCGGGCUGUUUGGAAAUCACACCUCAUUAAGAGACAGACUGUUCCUUCCCUUCUUGGGUCAUUGUGCUUAUGAUGAGGCAGCUCUGAAGUGACCCUAAGCCAGGGCGCCCAAUGGCUUCAAGAAAUCUGAACUUGGACC